CGCUAUUGGAGGCAUUGCCUGCCCAGUGACAACUGUUUAACGGCCGCGGUAUCCUGACCGUGCAAAGGUAGCAUAAUCAUUUGUUCUCUAAAUAAGGACUUGUAUGAAUGGCCGCACGAGGGUUUUACUGUCUCUUACUUCCAAUCAGUGAAAUUGACCUUCCCGUGAAGAGGCGGGAAUGCACAAAUAAGACGAGAAGACCCUAUGGAGCUUUAACUAACCAACCCAAAGAGAAUAGAUUUAACCAUUAAGGAAUAACAACAAUCUCCAUGAGUUGGUAGUUUCGGUUGGGGUGACCUCGGAGAAUAAAAAAUCCUCCGAGCGAUUUUAAAGACUAGACCCACAAGUCAAAUCACUCUAUCGCUCAUUGAUCCAAAAACUUGAUCAACGGAACAAGUUACCCUAGGGAUAACAGCGCAAUCCUAUUCAAGAGUCCAUAUCGACAAUAGGGUUUACGACCUCGAUGUUGGAUCAGGACAUCCUGAUGGUGCAACCGCUAUCAAAGGUUCGUUUGUUCAACGAUUAAAGUCCUACGUGAUCUGAUUCCAGACCGGA
rnacentral:rRNA from 1 species